UACGUAGGGGGCAAGCGUUAUCCGGAUUUACUGGGUGUAAAGGGAGCGUAGACGGCGAUGCAAGCCAGAUGUGAAAGCCCGGGGCUCAACCCCGGGACUGCAUUUGGAACUGUGUGGCUGGAGUGUCGGAGAGGCAAGUGGAAUUCCUAGUGUAGCGGUGAAAUGCGUAGAUAUUAGGAGGAACACCAGUGGCGAAGGCGGCUUGCUGGACGAGGACUGACGUUGAGGCUCGAAAGCGUGGGGAGCAAACAGG
rnacentral:rRNA from 1 species